AGGAAGCCUUCUCAGAGCAGCCAGCGUGGAAGGAGAAAGGAAGAAGAGACUUAGUCUAUGGGGCUCACAGAAACACAGAGCAGCUCGGACAGGAUGCUGGUCCUCAGAGAACCUCAGAUCUCCUGAGGAUGGAUGGACCAAUGGACUCCUCCUGUGUACAAGUUCCUGAUGCAGCUUCUCAUCCCAAGUCCUGCCCGAGUUCCGUGGAUGUGAGCUACUUUGGAAAAGGUUCUCUGGGAAGGUGGCUGUGGUGGUACAUGACUGCAAUCCCAGCAACC